rnacentral:rRNA from 1 species
AGCGUAGGCGGUUGGGUAAGCCCUCCGUGAAAUCUCCGGGCCUAACCCGGAAAGUGCAGAGGGGACUGCUCGGCUUGAGGACGGGAGAGGAGCGCGGAAUUCCCGGUGUAGCGGUGAAAUGCGUAGAGAUCGGGAGGAAGGCCGGUGGCGAAGGCGGCGCUCUGGAACGUUUCUGACGCUGAGGCUCGAAAGCGUGGGGAGCAAACAGGAUUAGAUACCCUGGUAGUCCACGCCUUAAACUAUGGAUACUAAGUGUCGGCGGGUUACCGCCGGUGCCGCAGCUAACGCAGUAAGUAUCCCGCCUGGGAAGUACGGCCGCAAGGUUGAA